rnacentral:lncRNA from 1 species
AUCGGAUAAUUUCUCAGAGGUUUUAAACGUUCAGAAUUUGAGUUUGCAUGCAGAAUGGUAGGUUACAGAAUAAGCAACAUACUGUAUUACAUCCAGAGUACAGCCCGAUGUGCUAGGCGCGCCAAGUCCGUGAGGACACGAGGAACUGACCCAGUCAACAGGGCUAAUCUGUACCGAGGACCAGAAGAAGGAUCCAUGAGGACUGGACUGAUGCUGCUGGAGGAUCCCAGAGAUGCUUUUACUUAUCGGAGACAUUAACCCAGAUAGCAGAGGGAGUUCCUCUGAGCCCAUGACCCAGCAAGAAAGACAGAGGAAGAAACAAUAGGAUGAGACCGAUCAACGAUGUUAUCCCUGGGGAAAUAAGCACAAGACAAUCUGAGGUGGUGAAAUACUGAAUCUCAGCGAACCAUCUCUAAAACGUCACUCCAGGUUAAAGCCAUUGGAUGGAUGCUGGUCUAAAUGCACAUGCCCAACGUCUUUUUGUAAAUGGCUGGAACAUUGGGACUGAAUUAUCCUUCCCUGGACAGAAGGCCAAUAUAUUGAUUGUCCUCGCUGAGGAGAACACUUGAAAGUCCAGCUAGAUUACAAAGAGUUCAGUUCAGCAUCUUUAGAAACCACAGUGGUGUUCCCGUCUU